rnacentral:rRNA from 1 species
UGGGGAAUUUUGGACAAUGGGGGAAACCCUGAUCCAGCCAUCCCGCGUGUGCGAUGAAGGCCUUCGGGUUGUAAAGCACUUUUGGCAGGAAAGAAACGUCAUGGGUUAAUACCCCGUGAAACUGACGGUACCUGCAGAAUAAGCACCGGCUAACUACGUGCCAGCAGCCGCGGUAAUACGUAGGGUGCAAGCGUUAAUCGGAAUUACUGGGCGUAAAGCGUGCGCAGGCGGUUCGGAAAGAAAGAUGUGAAAUCCCAGAGCUCAACUUUGGAACUGCAUUUUUAACUACCGGGCUAGAGGGUGUCAGAGGGAGGUGGAAUUCCACGUGUAGCAGUGAAAUGCGUAGAUAUGCGGAGGAACACCGAUGGCGAAGGCAGCCUCCUGGGAUAACACUGACGCUCAUGCACGAAAGCGUGGGGAGCAAACAGG